GAGUGUGAGGGCGAUCUGGUUGUGACAUCUAUCACCCCACUAAUCGCCAGGGUUGAUUUGGCUCAUCUGGCUGGCUAGAGGAUGUCCCCUUCCUUCUUCACUUCACUGCCCAGUUGAAGGGGACAACCUCCCCCAUAGAGGACUUUCCUUGGUCAAGGGUAUACAAGCAGCUGCUCUCCCCUUCUAAAAUCUCUAAACAAGCUUUCACAGUUUAAAUACCUUUUGAUUGUUAAAUCUAGCAUGGCAAGUAAACAAAACAUACCCACAAAGCGAAGAUUCAUUAUGAAGUAUGCACUCG
rnacentral:snRNA from 1 species